GCAACCACCCCGAAUGUGCCCCAUCUUGUCUGAUCUCAGAAGCUAAGCAGGGCAGGGCCUGGUUAGUACUUGGAUGGGAAAGGGGAUUUUUCUUUAAAACUAAGAUGAUUGCU
rnacentral:rRNA from 1 species